UUCACCUUCGGAGGUCCUGAGGACUCUAGAGCAGGUUUUCAUUAAGGAUCUCUCUGUACUUUGCUUGGUUCAUCUUUCCCUCGAUCCUGACUAUGAUAUGACAAAUCCUACCAUGGUCAGUGCAGACGCCAGUAGUUAUGGGUUAGGAUGGUCCUACUACAGAAACACAGUGGACAGUUAAAGCCAUUAGCUUAUUGCUCCAGGACUCUCACAGAUGCAAAUAAGCGCCAUGGACAGAUAGAAAAGGAGUGACUGGGCAUAUGAGAAGUUUACCAGAUAUCUGUAUGGCCUAGAUACAUUCACACUGCAGAGUGAUCAAACUUCUUAUUCCACUAAUAAACUGUGAAGACCUUGACUUAGUGCCUGUCAGAUGGUUCAUGCGCAUGAUGUGUUAUAACCCUACAGCCAAGUAUGUGCCGGGGAAACGGCUUGUUAUAGCAUAUACCCUUUCCAGACAUCCCCAGUCAGCCGUUACACAAGAUAUCGCAGGGCUGACCAGUGAAAUCGAGGCCUAUAAGGAUGCAGUUCAUAAGGAUGCAGUUCAUACAGUAAAGGCCUAUCUCAACCAACAAGCUGUACGUCGUCAAGAAGCAGACACAACAAGAUGCAGAGCUGCAGAUGGUGAAAUACUAUGUGACAACAGGAUGGCCUAAGUAUGCUGCCAAAGUGCCAGACAAGGUGCAAGCCUACUACACCCCCCGACAGAACCUCUCAAUGACAAAAGGACUAAUGUUGUAUGGAGAUAGAAUAGUAAUACCACAAAAUAUGAGAACUGAAAUGUUAAAGCGCAUACUCAACAGCCAUCAGGGUGUUGUGAAGGGCCGGGAGCGAGCUAGAGGUAGUGUGUAAGUAAAAACAGGAAAUGGUCAGGAAAUAGUCAGUACAUGCAAAGACUGCCACGAGUCCGAACCUACUCAGAGGAGGGAGCCUCUGAUCACCACUCCACUCCCCAGUCGCCCAUGGGAAAGAGUAGCAGCUGACAUAUGUGAGCUCAACAAGCGAAACUACUUGGUAGUUGUGGAGUAUUUUUCUAGAUGUAUAUAGAAAUAUCUUACCUCAAAGACGUGUCAGGAGAAACUACAAGAGCUAAACUGAAGAACAUCUUCGCCUGUUUAGGAUGCCCAAAUAUUCUAAUUACAGACAAUGCUCCACAGUUCUCAGCUAGAGCUUUCACGCAAUUCUCUAAGGACUAUGCUUUCAGACACAUUACCACCAACCCUCCCUACGCCCAAGCAAAUGGUGAAGCAGAGAGAGCAGUGCAGACAGCCAAAGGGAUCCUGAAACAGGCUGACCCAUUCCUAGCGCUCAUGACCUACAGAGCAACACCACAGCCCAGCACAGCUCCGCACCACAGUUCCCACCCUGGAGGUUAACCUACAACCAGCGUGGCCAGACCUCCAGCAGGUGAGACGUGUCAACCUAUAGAGCAAAGCAGAGCUUCAUGCGUGUCUACAACAACAGGUAUAAAGUCAGAACCCCUUCCAGAACUCCAGCACUGUCACACCCUGAUCUGUUUCACCUGUCUUUGUGCUUGUCUCCACUCCCCCUCCAGGUGUCGCCCAUCUUCCCCAUUAUCCCCUGUGUAUUUAUACCUGUGUUCUCUGUUUGUCUGUUGCCAGUUUGACUUGUUUGUCAAGUCAAUCAGUGUGUUUUGUUGUCAGCUCCUGCUUUUCCCAGUCUCUUUUUCUCGCCCUCCUGGUUUUGACCCUUGCCUGUCCUGACUCUGAGCCCGCCUGUCUGACCACUCUGCCUGCCCCUGAGCCUGCCUGCCGACCUGUACCUUUGUCCCACCUCUGCAUUGUUGACCUCUGCCUGCCUGCUGUCCGGUACCGUUGCCCCACCUCUGGUUUACUGGCCCCUGCCUGCUUGACCUGUCUUUUGCCUGCCCCUGUUGGAAUAUUAAACCAUUGUCAAUUCGACUGCUUCAGUGCUUCCAACAGUGUGACACACCCAGGUCAUACAUGGUCCCGACAGAUACGGGAGUGCUGCGCAGGAAUCCACGCCACCUGAAACCACUCCGCAGUGCUGCAGAGACUUGUCAAAAGGGUGGAGAGGAACACCCAGAGUGUGACACGGAGUUGCACUUACCUAUUCCAGAUGCCCACCACCUGUCACAGAACCAAAGACUCCAGUACACAGGACUUCUUGUGGUACAGUUGUCAAACCACCAGACAGAUAUGGAGAGCAUAACGCACAGCCUGCAUAAUGUGACAGAAGAACCCCACUGCAGCUAUGAAUGUGACUGGCAGUCCACCCAGCUCACUGUACGGUAAUAUAUAGUUAGUGUUGAAGAAACAACAACUGUUUUUAUGGAAUGUUAAGACAGAAAAUGAGUUGAUGUUUCAUGAGUUGUUGAACUUUAAAGACAGAAAAGUUUGUUUAUGAAUUCAUAUGUUGAGGCAAGUUAAUUACAGAGUGAUGAACUAUAAACAUUGUGUUGUGUUGACAUUUUAGAAACAUAUGUAUUGAAAGGGUGAUGUGUUGUAUUGGAACUACUUUAUUAUAGCGCAUGGCACAGGUAUGUUCAUGACGUCAUAUUCAAGGUGAUUGGGCAAGUCGGUCCGCGUGCAUCCGUCGUAACAUUGAAGACAGUCUCCUGUGUUACGUUACUUAUUGUUUCGUUAAAGUCAACCAAAGUGAUAUUCACCUCAAGAUUCUUCUCAUAAAAGCAUAACACUACAGUGACCAUGAUAACAUCAUCCGGUGGUUGAAAUUUCACCCUCAAAACAACAGUUUAAGGUUGAUUACUUUUUUCAUCUCUAAUGUAUUUUCCACAUAGGUUCCAUGUCACGAUUACAUUGACAAGUUACGUUGAAACAAUGUUGAUUCAACCAGUUUGUGCCUAAUGAUCAGAUGUGCUUUUCAGCAUUACAUUUGGAACUUUAUCGGUGUGACGUUGCUGGUAUGUAUAGAGAGAGAGAUAAUUAAAUAAUGUCAGGCAUAUUCCAUUAAGAGACAAAGAAUCCCUGAAAAGUAGAUCCGACUAUACCAAUUGGAAGCAGUGUUCUCUUUGUUAUCCUCAAAACGUUAACACGACUCAAAGGAAUAGGCACAAUAUUGUUAUUCACAAAUCAGAAAACAAGGACGUCCUAUGAAGGUCUACCUAUGAAACACUCAAAAAGUUCAGUUUGCGUGUGGUAUUGUGCCAGGGGUUUUUCCUGUUCAGGCUCACAUUUUCAGGAAAACUCCGGGCCCUAAUGCUUACAACAAGGAUAAUUCAUUACAUUGACACUGCUUGGUAGUUACUCUAGCGCUGUGAUACUGUCUUACAAAACAAGAACCUGUGGGAUGUGCAUUACCAGUGUAGACUGCAGAAAUGACAGUCAUAUUGAAACCCAUCCACCAACAUGGGGGCUGAUGGAGGGUGAGGAGAAUAGGUGUAGAAGCAGGCCUAUUUCCUAAAAUUGCUUUAAAGGCCACCCACCCAAAAAGACUUAUAGGUAAUAAUAUUGACAUUUUUCGGUCCCGCUUCAUAAACCAUGGUACAAAACUGUUUUGAUAUGUGGGCCUUUGGACUGUGUGGGAUGGUGGAAAGUUGUGCUAACAAAAAAGUGGUUAAUGAUUACCACAAUCCUAAAACGUUUAAAGCUCAGUCCGGACACAGAAAGAUCAAACCUAGAAAAAGCACUCAAUUACCAGGUUUCUUUUAGGCCGCAAGUUGAUUUGAAGUAAUUCAGGUAUGUUAGAGGCCAAGGAAGUGUAUUCAUUCUUGCUCUUUGUGAAUGGGUGGUUGGGUCAGCUCUUCACCCCCUGCUCCCAACCAGUCUUCCUAUCUACAAGCAGUCUCAAUACCCGACAGGGGUGGUCAUUGCGUUAUGAAAAACUGGACCUAUACUAUUCAGUCUGGAAAAUAUUAUUUGACAUCACAAGGCAGGCAUGAGCUGCAAACUCUAAUGUGGAGUGGAGAGUGGCUGAACUGCACCCAGUGUAUCCUGCUGCAGGAGAUAGAGCGACACAUGACACCCUCAACAGAUUCAUGCUUUACGGUGAGCCCAGGAGUCAUCAAUGAUUCCAUACUGUGAUGGAAUACCAGGAAUCGAAGCAAAGCUGAGAAUCUAAGAAUUGAGAUACAUACUAUUAUUAAUACAUCACAUUGCUGUUUAAUUAAUUAUUGCAUGCGUACAAUGUACAUAUUACAUUUGAUGUGUUUUAAUUUGUAUAACAAGGACAUUGUAUAGCUGCCCAAAGGGUUAAUGUGCUUAGAGAUGCAAAGAAUAUUUGCAUGUUUGCACUGUGGUCCUCAAUGAAAAUCGUGACAGUGCCUUAUUGGAUAAUAAAGUGGGGAAGGCAUUUCGGACCCAAACAGCUUGUAUAAACAUGGACAGAUUUGGCCAUCUCCCUCAAGAGAAAGGUUUGUGGUUUUGGUACAUAAUCUAACCUAACUAUAGAACAAAUGGACUUGGACCACCAGAGAAAAUAUAUAUUUUCUAAUAUCUAAAAUAGCAUUAUGUCUCAUUGAACUGUUUUAUUUAUAUAUAUAUAUAUAUGUGUAUGUUUCUUUCAGAUAUAUAUAUAUAUAUGUGUAUGUUUCUUUCAGAGCUUUGUCAUUUAAACAAGGCAUAGCACUGAGGCUGCCUGCUAUGUGUUGGAGUCUUCCAUCAAGAUCAUGCUAUGCAUCGAAAUAGGUUUCCUUUUGAGAGUUUAUUAUUAGCGUAUUGCCCACUCUAACUUUGAUCUAACUCAGAAACGUGGAACUAGUUCAAAUGAAGGUCUCUCCUCCUCUCAUUUCCCAUGUGUAAUAGUAUAACAAAUAAACAGAAAAAAAGAACCGCUACUCCAAGUCUAUUCCAAAGUCUCCGAAUGUUUAGAAUAGCACUAAUGACCCAGGCAUAGACGUCUCAGCAUUUUCCAUCGCUCAUUUAAACUUGCAGUGACAUGGCACACAGUUAUCAAGUUUUCGAAGAAGGGCCUAUUUCCAGGCAGAUAUUUCAAUUUCACGCAUUUCUCUUUUUGUGAGGGAUGACUUAACUGUCAUGGUUCACUGAACUGCAUUGUUCCACUCUUUUUGCCUACCUCCAUCAGUGGUGGCUCAUAAUAAUGUCUGGAAUGGAGUCAAUGGAAUGGUAUGAAACACCAUUGACUCCAUUCCAGCCAUUAUUAUGAGCAGUCCUCCCCUCAGCAGCCUCCACUGACCUCUAUCUAAAUACCAUUCAUCAAUUUAGAAAAUAAUCCAGGGCUAGUUUACCGGGGGAGUAGCCUCCCACGCAGUUACACUUACAGUGCAGGGGAAAUUCCCAUGAUGCUGCAGAUGAGGCUCAGAGCACACUGUCGUUCACAACUAGAGUGGUCAUCCACAGUUCUAUUCUUCAUUUGCUGUAAUGUAAUAAUACACAGGGUGACUGAAAGCAGAAACGGUGAAAUUUGCUUUCACCUGUCCUUUUAUUUCUUGUAAGGUUAUUUCUUUGACCUGCAGUUCGAAAUCAAGAAAAUAUGGGUAUAUGAAGGGGUAGACUAGGGAUUUGGGGUGCAUUGGAUACAUUGUACAUGUAAUUUCUAUGGCUUAAAUACUAUAACAUUUGAGACCAGACUCCCAUGUCUGGUCCUAUAAAAACACCUACAGUAAUACACUACAUUGGCAAUAAACCUUUUCCUAUACAAGAGGG